rnacentral:sRNA from 1 species
ACUUGGAAAUAUGACAGGACUGCAGCCAGUGUGGAUAAUUAUCAUUUUCAACUACAGAUCUCUCUCAGCCUUGUCUGCUUAUCACACUGGCUUGAUCGCGCCCAUGAAGAUCCGCACAGAGGCCCCUGGGAACCUUCGUUUAUACAGUGGGAGCCCCACUCGCAGCGAGAAAGAGCAGGUCUCCAUCAGCUCCUUCUACUACAAGGAGCGGAAAUCAAGACGAUGGAAAAGUAAGCGUGAGGGAUCAGACUCUGGCAAUCGACAGAUCAAGGCUGCUGGGAAAGUCAUCAUCCAGGAUAUUGCUUGCCUCCUGCCUGUUCACAAAUCGCUGGGAGAGCUGUACAUAUUGAAUGUGAAUGAUAUUCAGGAAACAUGUCAGAAGAAUGCCGCCUCUGCCUUGCUCGUUGGAAGAAAGGAUCUCGUCCAGGUUUGGUCGCUGGCUACGGUAGCUACAGAUCUUUGCCUUGGUCCGAAAUCUGACCCAGAUUUGGAAACACCCUGGGCUCGACAUCCAUUUGGGCGGCAGCUGCUGGAGUCCCUGUAGGUUUUGAGAGCUAAAAAUGAGAAAAAUGAGUGAUGUCCG